rnacentral:rRNA from 1 species
GGACCCGCACAAGCGGUGGAUGAUGUGGAUUAAUUCGAUGCAACGCGAAAAACCUUACCUACGUUUGACAUGCCAGGAAGGCCGGAGAGAUCUGGUUGUGCCCGAAAGGGAACCUGGACACAGGUGCUGCAUGGCUGUCGUCAGCUCGUGUCGUGAGAUGUUGGGUUAAGUCCCGCAACGAGCGCAACCCUUAUCAUUAGUUGCUACGCAAGGGCACUCUAAUGAGACUGCCGGUGACAAACCGGAGGAAGGUGGGGAUGACGUCAAGUCCUCAUGGCCCUUAUACGUAGGGCUUCACACGUCAUACAAUGGUCGGUACAGAGGGCUGCCAACCCGCGAGGGGGAGCCAAUCCCAGAAAACCGAUCGUAGUCCGGAUUGCACUCUGCAACUCGAGUGCAUGAAGUCGGAAUCGCUAGUAAUCGCGGAUCAGCAUGUCGCGGUGAAUACGUUCCCGGGUCUU